UUUCCAAAAGCAGAGAAAACCUGCCACAAAAGCAGGCAUCUUACAUGAUCCUGUCCAAUCCAUUGGCCAAGGACAGACUGAAAGCCACUGAAGAACCUGCUGUUUACUUGGCAGAUGAGAAUGGACUGGAGAAAGAACCAGAUGUUGCUGCUCUCUUUCGACUCGCCAAUCAUUACUGCUUCCGCAAUUUGGGAUAUUGCUUACCAAGGGAGGAGAGAUGUUACUUUUUUGAUAUAUACUUUGAAACACAUAACAAUUGUCCUGAUCGCAAAAAAAUGAAGUGCUGUAUGAAAUUUUUUUUAACAAUUGUUUUUUGAAAAAGACAAACCAUUAGUCAGACAAAUCAAACCUGGCAAACUGGCUUGCAAUCUGGAAGGAGUUGCUGCAUUUUGUUCAAUACACUGGCUGAUAAGUCACCCUCCUUGA